GGUGAACGCUGGCUACAGGCUUAACACAUGCAAGUCGAGGGGAAACGACGGGGAAGCUUGCUUCCCCGGGCGUCGACCGGCGCACGGGUGAGUAACGCGUAUCCAACCUGCCUCUGACUGAGGGAUAACCCGUCGAAAGUCGGCCUAAUACCUCAUGGUAUCGUCUGCGGGCAUCCAACGACGAUUAAAGAUUUCAUCGGUCAGGGAUGGGGAUGCGUCUGAUUAGCUUGUUGGCGGGGUAACGGCCCACCAAGGCUACGAUCAGUAGGGGUUCUGAGAGGAAGGUCCCCCACAUUGGAACUGAGACACGGUCCAAACUCCUACGGGAGGCAGCAGUGAGGAAUAUUGGUCAAUGGGCGAGAGCCUGAACCAGCCAAGUAGCGUGCAGGAAGACGGCCCUAUGGGUUGUAAACUGCUUUUAUGCGGGGAUAAAGUGAGGGACGUGUCCCUCAUUGCAGGUACCGCAUGAAUAAGGACCGGCUAAUUCCGUG
rnacentral:rRNA from 1 species